GUGGGGAAUUUUGGACAAUGGGCGCAAGCCUGAUCCAGCCAUGCCGCGUGCAGGAAGACGCAUCUAUGGUGUGUAAACUGCUUUUGUACGGGAAGAAACACUCCCUCGUGAGGGAGCUUGACGGUACCGUAAGAAUAAGGAUCGGCUAACUCCGUGCCAGCAGCCGCGGUAAUACGGAGGGUGCAAGCGUUAUCCGGAAUCACUGGGUUUAAAGGGUACGUAGGCGGUUAAUUAAGUCAGUAGUGAAAGACUGUCGCUCAACGACGGAUGUGCUAUUGAUACUGGUUAACUUGAAUCAGGUUAGAGUUGGCGGAAUGGGUCAUGUAGCGGUGAAAUGCUUAGAUAUGACUUGGAACACCGAUAGCGAAGGCAGCUGACUGAGCCUUGAUUGACGCUGAGGUACGAAAGUGUGGGUAGCGAACAGGAUUAGAUACCCUUGUAGUCC
rnacentral:rRNA from 1 species